rnacentral:rRNA from 1 species
UACGUAGGGUGCGAGCGUUGUCCGGAAUUAUUGGGCGUAAAGGGCUCGUAGGCGGUUUGUCGCGUCGGGAGUGAAAACAUCUGGCUUAACUGGGUGCUUGCUUUCGAUACGGGCAGACUAGAGGUAUGCAGGGGAGAACGGAAUUCCUGGUGUAGCGGUGAAAUGCGCAGAUAUCAGGAGGAACACCGGUGGCGAAGGCGGUUCUCUGGGCAUGACCUGACGCUGAGACGCGAAAGCGUGGGGAGCGAACAGG